rnacentral:rRNA from 1 species
UACGGAGGAUCCGAGCGUUAUCCGGAUUUAUUGGGUUUAAAGGGAGCGUAGGCGGGUUGUUAAGUCAGUUGUGAAAGUUUGCGGCUCAACCGUAAAAUUGCAGUUGAUACUGGCAUCCUUGAGUACAGUAGAGGUAGGCGGAAUUCGUGGUGUAGCGGUGAAAUGCUUAGAUAUCACGAAGAACUCCGAUUGCGAAGGCAGCCUGCUGGACUGUAGCUGACGCUGAUGCUCGAAAGUGUGGGUAUCAAACAGG